CUAGCAUGCAGUCGAGCGGUAAGGGCAGCAAUGCCCCUAGAGCGGCGGACUGGUGAGUAACGCGUGGGUGACCUACCCCCUGGUUGGGGAUAGCCCCUAGAAAUAGGGGAUAAUACCGAAUACGGUUGUCCGGUUAUGACCGGAUAGAGAAAGGAGCUCCGGCUCCGCCUGAGGAUGGGCCCGCGUUCCAUUAGCUAGUUGGUGAGGUAAAGGCCCACCAAGGCUCUGAUGGGUAGCCGGCCUGAGAGGGUGACCGGCCACACUGGGACUGAGAUACGGCCCAGACUCCUACGGGAGGCAGCAGCUAAGAAUAUUCCGCAAUGGCCGAAAGGCUGACGGAGCGACGCCGCGUGGAUGACGAAGGCCGAAAGGUUGUAAAAUCCUUUUGUUGCUGAAGAAUAAGGGAGGGAGGGAAUGCCCUCCCGAUGACGUUAGGCAACGAAUAAGCCCCGGCUAAUUACGUGCCAGCAGCCGCGGUAACACGUAAGGGGCAAGCGUUGUUCGGAAUUAUUGGGCGUAAAGGGCACGUAGGCGGUAUGGUAAGCCUGGCGUGAAAUCCUCCGGCUUAACCGGGGAAUGGCGUCGGGAACUGCAAUACUGGAGUCAUGGAGGGGAAGUUGGAAUUCCUAGUGUAGGGGUGAAAUCUGUAGAUAUUAGGAAGAACACCGGUGGCGAAGGCGAACUUCUAGCCAAUGACUGACGCUGAGGUGCGAAAGUGCGGGGAGCAAACAGGAUUAGAUACCCUGGUAGUCCGCACUAUAAACGAUGUACACUAGGUGUUGGGCCGUGCGGUUCAGUGCCGAAGCAAACGUGAUAAGUGUACCGCCUGGGGAGUAUGCCCGCAAGGGUGAAACUCAAAGGAAUUGACGGGGGCCCGCACAAGCGGUGGAGCAUGUGGUUUAAUUCGAUGAUACGCGAGGAACCUUACCUGGGUUUGACAUGAAGUGAAUGUGCUAGAGAUAGACAGUGUCGCAGACACGCCUUCACAGUGCUGCAUGCUGUCGUCAGCUCGUGCGUGAGUGUUGGGUAGUCCCGCACGAGCGCANCCCUACUGCAGUUACUAGCAGUACGCUGAGACUCUGCGACUGCCGUGACAACCGAGAAGGU
rnacentral:rRNA from 1 species